GUACGGCCCUUGCACCAGGGUCGUUUGGAAAUUGACAGAAAUCUCAUCAACAGGAUCAAUUUCUUAGGCAGUAAAAAAAAUAAUAACAGCCUUAAACCCGAGAGCCCUGGUGAACAGUUCCAUCAGGCCGCAGUCACAGCACGCGGAGAGACUCCCGUCGGGCGCGGUCCGCGCUCCGCCUGGCGCUCUGUGUGCGCUAAGUGUCCGAGCAGCCCCGCUGCCCCACGCCGGACUUCGCGAGCGACCUUAACGGUGGCGCAACGCAGCCUUCGGCCACCAGAGGCAACCGGCGUCAGCGGCUAGUCAAAAACUGGCGCUUUUUUCCUGCUUUCCGUGUAGAGACUAUCAACUCCAUCUGUCACAAAAUCAAGGCUAAAUCUCCCCAGAGGCGGAGGGAGCCGGGCUCCCGCGCGCUCAGAGCUGGGCUGGUUGCUCUCCCCCAAGGCCGAGGGGGUCUGGGAGGGCGGGAGUCAGAGCCGCAGCCACGGGGGUGUGUUGCUGCAGAAAGUGCCCCGUGCGUACGGAGGUGCCCAGCCUCGGGGCGCCAGGGCAGCGGGAACCCGGGCUCUGCGAGCUGCAGCGCAAAGCCGAACCUCGCAGAGCCAGGCUGAGGUUGAUGGGCGUUUGAGCUGUUUCUAAGAUUUAGCUAUUACAAACUGUGCCAAUAUAGACACGGGAGUGCAUAUAUUGCUGAGAAAUGACAGAUGGAAAAGAUAAUGUAGUCCUUGGCCAGAGCCACCUUGAGAAUCGCUGUGCUAUAUAUACUUGCAAAAAGAAGUGUGAACACAGUUACUUCGUUUGGCUUUGGAGAGAGCUAAGUAAAGACAACAGUCAUAACAGUAACUAUCAACAACAGCGAAAAUACAUGAACAAGCUGGGAUGAAGUGUGUGUCUGGUUAAUACUUCUUAAACUGGGAGAACCAUUAGAAUAACAGAUCUUUAAUGCUGAAAAUUUAUGUCAUGAAAUGUUUUGGGAAAAGAAUUAUGAUCUUAUUGAUUGAAAAAGAUUACAAACCAUCUAAUUCUUUUUAAUGAAAUGUGUAUCCCAGGACUUUAUCAAACAUAUAAUUGGGGAGUUCACAUUCUUAUUUUUAAUCUGCUUUUGUAUUUACCUGCUCAUUUUUCACUGACUUUGGUUCAAUCUAAUCCAAGAAUUCCUUCUACAUGUGCCUGAAAAUGAGUUAUGAAUGAAACGAUUCCAUUUAACUAGGUUAAAACAGAAAACCAAAGAGUUAAUAUAAUGUAGAUUGUAGGCUUUAGUCUAUAAUAGUAUAUCAGUAGUGGUUAUCAGUUGUAACAAAUGCAGCUGGGCAUGGUGGAGCAUGCCUGUCAUCCCAGCCUUCAGGAGGCUGAGGCAGGAGAAUUGCUGACCUUGAACUCACAGCAAACCCUGUUUCAAGAAACAAAAAAUUGUUACAAAUGCAUCUCAUUAAUCAAAUACAAAAUAUACAUUAAGGAAACAGGGAGGACUAUGGGGUUAGGUUGGAAUACUCUGUACUUUCUAAUCUUUCAAUUUAGAGCUUUAUCAUUUAAAGUUUUCAGUUUUAAUAUUCCUUUUUUGCCCAUUAAAAAAUAAGGUAAAUCCAGGUGUGCUGUUUGAAACCAAAAGUUGGUCUCUCUGUGGUAUACAUCUCCCCAAGUGAUUAACUACAUAUAUUUACAUAGUCAUUUUUUGAAUUCACUUACCCACCCCAGAAAUAGUUGAGUGUCCACCUUGGGUCAAGCCUUCUGUCGCGCUUUGUUUUGAGCAGGAAAGUUUGCGAUAGGUAACUUUUUAUCAUAAGCUUUUACUUCAUGCGUAGACAUACAUUUAUUUACCAAAG
rnacentral:lncRNA from 1 species